rnacentral:rRNA from 1 species
CAAUAGCGUAUAUUAAAGUUGUUGCAGUUAGAACGCUCGUAGUCGGAUUUCGGGGCGGGUCGACCGGUCUGCCGAUGGGUACGCACUGGCCGACGCGUCCUUUUUGCCGGAGACCGUCCCUACUCUUAACUGAGCGGGGUCGGGAGACGGCACCUUUACUUUGAAAAAAUCAGAGUGUUUCAAGCAGGCAGCUCGCUCUUGCAUGGAUUAGCAUGGGAUAAUGAAAUAGGACUUUGGUGCUAUUUUGUUGGUUUCGAACACCGAAGUAAUGAUGAGAAGGGACAGUCAGGGGCACUCGUAUUCCGCCGAGAGAGGUGAAAUUCUCAGACCAGCGGAAGACGAACCACUGCGAAAGCAUUUGCCAGGGAUGUUUUCACUGA